GCCUCGUUAGCUCAGUUGGUAGAGCGUUAGACUUUUAAUCUAACGGUCCGGGGUUCGAGUCCCCUACGGGGCU
rnacentral:tRNA from 2 species